UACAGAGGUCUCAAGCGUUGUUCGGAUUCAUUGGGCGUAAAGGGUGCGUAGGCUGCGGGGCAAGUCGGGUGUGAAAUCUCAGAGCUCAACUCUGAAACUGCACUCGAUACUGCUUUGCUUGAGGACUGGAGAGGAGAUUGGAAUUCACGGUGUAGCAGUGAAAUGCGUAGAUAUCGUGAGGAAGACCAGUGGCGAAGGCGGAUCUCUGGACAGUUCCUGACGCUGAGGCGCGAAGGCCAGGGGGAGCAAACGGG
rnacentral:rRNA from 1 species